rnacentral:rRNA from 1 species
UACGUAGGGUGCGAGCGUUAAUCGGAAUUACUGGGCGUAAAGCGUGCGCAGGCGGUUUUGUAAGUCAGAUGUGAAAUCCCCGGGCUUAACCUGGGAACUGCGUUUGAAACUACAAGGCUAGAGUGUAGCAGAGGGGGGGUGGAAUUCCACGUGUAGCAGUGAAAUGCGUAGAGAUGUGGAGGAGCACCGAUGGCGAAGGCAGCCCCCUGGGUUAACACUGACGCUCAGGCACGAAAGCGUGGGGAGCAAACAGG